AUCACCUUUGGAUACUGUCACAAUCAUGUAACCAGGAACAUCGCGACCAAUAUGUAGCCUAAUACUUGUCCUUUAUUGUUUCUUUUUUUCUUCACCUGUGUCUUUUUCUAUCUUUACACUGAAUUGAAGAAAACCUUUUAACAGAACUGCUUUCUAAUCGUUGAAAAGAAGACAUCGAUCAGACGUAGCAAAUGUGUCUGAAUACAAUUUAAUCGAUUGACCAAGUGAAGAAAAAACAAAAACAAAAAAAUGGAAGUCUUUACUAUGCUCACUAUGUUUGUUUUUGUCCUUGAUGGUGUGGUUGGAUCAAAUCUGCUGUCUUUGAUCGAGGGAGAUUCUGUAACUCUGAAAAGCGAUGUUACCAAGCAAGGACGUGACAAAAUGCUGUGGUAUUUUAACGACACCCUCAUUGCCCUGAUCAAUGGAGAUCCCAGUAAGAGCUGUGUGUAUGAUGGUGAAGGCGGGAUAUUCAGAGGCAUACUGGAAGUGGACUUUGAGACUGGAUCUCUGACCAUCACAAACAUCAGGGGUAUACACGCUGGACGCUAUGAAGCAGAGAUCAUCAAAAGCAAGAGCUCAGAAACCAGCCAAAGCAACAGCGAGUGUGACAGCACAAAAAUCAUCAAAAAAAAGAUCAACAUUGGCGACACUGUAAAAGACAUUCAGUGUGUCCAUCAGUCGUGAGUCAAUUAGUGAUGAUUCAGUCAUUAGUGGUGAGUCAUUCAGAGAUAUGCCCUUUCCGCAUUUACAGUACAAACAUGAUUGAAUGUGAACUAUCUGAACAGUGACCAUCAAACCGGUUCAGACUCUUUCUUUGAAAACAUUCAAAACACAUUUACAGUCUUUUUCCGUAGACAUCUUUUGUGAAUAAUUCAACAUUUUCAUGAUAUUCAAAAUAUUAUAAUUAGUAGACCCUUUAUCAAAUUGAUCACUUUGACUGGUGAUAUGUUUUUUUAUGCCACAAUGCAACCAAUAUUAGUAACAAGACGCUGCAGGUGGUUUGUUCGUGUUUGGAAAGGGUUUCCUGCAGCUAGAAAUGGCUAUAUAACAAUAAAUGAAUAAAAAAAAAUAUGUACAAAUUCUAAUUAUGUAUAUAUAUUAUUAUUAUUUCCUUGUGUUUCCCAGCCUCUCUGUCUGGUCCUGACAAAUCCAAUAAAGAAUGGUACAGUGAGGGGAAUGAACAGAAGUGUAAAAGGAAUUCAGUUCGGACUUUAGGUCUUAUAGCAGGAAUAUGUGCUGUUGGUGUUAUUCUGGUGGCUGCAGCUGUUAUUGGUGUGAUUUACUGUCGUGACAAGAGCUCUAAAAAGGGCAAGU